CAUUUGCAAUCCCGUUGGGAGGGGGCUUGAUGUAUGUGUUUCCCCCGCUCCACUUGGUACACAAGGUCCUGCUCAAGGUACGCAGGAACAGGGCACUGGUGGUCCUCAUCGCCCCGGCGUGGCCCCACCAGCACUGGUACACAAUGCUCCUAGAGCUGUCGGUGAAGGCCCCGGUAGUCCUGCCCCUACACCAGGACCUCAUGCAAGAUGGUGGACGGCUUCUCCAUCCCGACCUGCAAUCGCUACACCUGACGGCGUGGAAGCUCUGUGGCUAAAUGCCUUGGAGAGCUAGUGCUCCCUUCCUGUGCAGCAGAUUCUGCUUGGCAGUAGGAAACCCUCUACCAGGGCUACCUAUAUGGCCAAGUGGAAAAGGUUCUCCUGUUGGUGUGAGCCCUGACAGGUGCAGCCAUGCCAGCUCCUGGUGCAAGCCAGUCUCAAGUGCCUCCUGCACCUCAAGCAGCAGGGUCUGGUUCCGUCCUCACUCAGAGUGCACCUGGGAACCAUCUCUGCCUUCCAUCCGGGGUUUUCAGGGGGCUCGGUGUUUUUCCAGUCAGUGGUGGGAUGGUUCCUUAAAGGAUUGGAGAGGAUGUUUCUGUACUCAUGCCCCCCAGUCCCUCCUUGGAACCUGAACUUGGUCUUCGCUAAGCUCAUAGAAUCCCUGUUCAAGCCACUUGCUACCUGCUCCCUCCUCCACCUUUCCUGGAAGGUGGCAUUUCUGGUUGCCACUACCUUGUCCAGAAGGGUGUCUGACCUGAGGGCUCUCACCUCUGAGCCAUCGUAUACAGUUUCACAAGGAUAAGGUGCAGCUCUGACCGCACCCCAAGUUCCUCCCUAAGGUGGUCUCGCAAUUCCAUUUGGGCCAGGACAUUUGUCUGCCGGUGUUGUGUGUGGGGUUGGGUUUUUUUUUUUUUUUUUUUCCCCAAAACCCCAUACGGACCUGAGUCACCGCAGCCUACACACCCUGGAUAUCUGUCGAAUGCUGCCAUUCUAUUUGGAGCACACCAAACCCUUUCGUAAAUCCGCGCAGCUGUUCGUGGCCAUAGCCGAGAGGAUGAAAGGCCUCCCAGUGUCGGCGCUGCGGAUCUCUUCUUGAAUUACAAGCUGCAUCUGGACUUGGUCCCGAUCUAGGAGAUAUGCAAAGCAGCCACCUGGUCCUCGGUGCGCACCUUCACAACCUACUAUGCAGUCAACCAGCAGGCCAGAGAGGACACAGCAGUUGGCAAAGCGGUCCUCCAAUCAGUUGUUCUGUGACUCCUACCCUUUUCCAGAGGUAAGCUUGUGAUUCACCUAAUGUGGAAUGGACGUGAACAAUCACUCGAAGA